rnacentral:rRNA from 1 species
UUUACGGUGUUUAUCCCUAAGGGAAUUUAAUUUUAUAAUCAAAAUUAAUGGGUCAAGCCACUAUAAAUUAAUUUUACCAAAAUUAAGGGGGGGUUAAACUAUAUCCCUCUCAUCGCCCCAACAAAACAUAUAAGCCCACUCAAUUAAACAUAAACAAACAAUAAGGAAAAUAGACCAAAUGUUAAACUCUAUAGGGUCUUCUCGUCCCAUAAAAACAUUUAAGAAUUUUAACUCAAAAACCAAAUUCAAUAAAACAUUCACCAACUUAAGACAGCUCGUGUCUCGUCAAGCCAUUCAUUCCAGAUCACAAUUAAAGAACUAAUGAUUAUGCUACCUUUGCACGGUCAAAAUACCGCGGCCCUUCAACACUCAGUCAGCGGGCAGGCCAUACUUCAGAAACUAACAAGAAAAGAUGUUUUUGAUAAACAGG